UACGAAGGGGGCGAGCGUUGUUCGGAAUUACUGGGCGUAAAGGGCGCGUAGGCGGCCGAUCAAGUCAGAUGUGAAAGUCCUGGGCCUAACCUGGGGACUGCAUUUGAUACUGAUUGGCUUGAAUUCGGGAGAGGAUAGCGGAAUUCCCAGUGUAGAGGUGAAAUUCGUAGAUAUUGGGAAGAACACCGGUGGCGAAGGCGGCUAUCUGGACCGACAUUGACGCUGAGGCGCGAAAGCGUGGGGAGCAAACAGG
rnacentral:rRNA from 1 species